UUUGUUGCAGCACAAUAGCUCCUUAAGUAGGCUGACUGCUUCGUCUACACCCCUUAAGCGUUCGCCAAAAGCGUGCGUCCAAUUUACAUCACAGAGCAGGGGAGGUUCUGCCGCGUCACAACCCGUGUCCUUGCUAACGCCUACUACAACACACCUGCGUCCACACUGGCUUCCUACAGGCAGAGCCAGAGCACAACAGCAAGCUGAGCCGAGCUGUUCCUUCGAAUAUUAUGUAGUUCUUGUGGAGAACAGUGGGGAUCCACAGCGCAAUGACUAAUCCCUGUGAAAGGCUAAACUUGAGUGAUUCAUUCGGCUCUGAGAUCCAGACAUUAGUAUUCUUAAAAACUCUUCUGAAUUUAGCUUUUUAUUUAGUGAGGAACAACUAAAGAACAAGAGAAUUCAAGGGAAAGCACCUGCCUUUACAGAACACACAAGAAGCAAUAUUCUCAGGAUAUGCUUUCAUGUUUUCAAGAGGAGAAGAAAACAGAGAAACCAGGAAUGAAAAAGUGACAGUGACUGACUUCAUAGAGGCAUUUCCAGAAUAUGAUAAGCAUGAUAAAGAACAACCACACUAUGCCUCAAAUAUGUAUUCAGCAAGAAGGUAUGCAAUCUGAUCAGAAUCAGAGAUCAUGCAUGAACUUUAAUCCUUCCAGUGUAGCAAUCAACACUGCAAUGAAUUGAUACACUUAAAAAGUUAUUCUGCAAGAAAUGGAAAUAAGCAAAGGAACUGGCUAACCAUGUCUGAAAAGCCUCUAACAAACUCCUGAACACAGGUUCUUCAGCAGUGACCUAAACUUUGCAUAAGUUAAGUAGGUAGUAGUAAGACUUUCCAAAUACAGUGAAACUGCUGAAGCAGCUCAAACCAUGGGGGAUAUGACACGACACAAAUGAGACAGCUGAGUAUGGAGCUGAGAAGUCAGCUCGGUCAAACAAGUUGCCAAACAACUGGAGCUCAUACCUGCAUUUUGCACAUACCUCUUUUCAAGCCCAGCUCCAAAUACUUGAAUACUUAUUAAUCUAUGCUGCACUGACUGAAUUCUGAACUAUACAGCUCCCCAUUCCCCAGCCCAAU